CUCAAGUUAUUUUCUUAUGCAAUAAAUAUUAUAGAAUUUGCCCAUAUCAUUACCACAUACUAGACAUAACUAUCAUUACAUCACAAACCAUUCAUGAAGCAUUAUUAACUAUUUACCAAUCACUUAAUCUUGCAUUAGUUACUAGCUCAUCAAUGAAUCUCAAUUCAAUCUCUAGGCAUACAUGUUGUAAGCCACAUCACAAGAGAUAAUAACAUACAUGCAUAAGAAUAAUCAUAUGGGCCCAUAACGUCAUUAGCCGACAUAGGCCAAUUUACAUGACUAAUACUACCUUAAUAACAAGCCAAUGCCUUUGGCUAAAUCAUAAUAUUACAUACUCACGUUAAAACCCUAUACAUGUCAUAGACUCGAAUCACUUGAGUUUACUUACUCCGAUAACGUUAACUCGAUAGGGUGAUAAUAUCUCUGACGGCCUCCAACCCGAGCUAACCUGGAAACUCUAGAAAACAUGGGAAAGAAGGGGGGUAAGCUUUCGCUUAGUAAGUUCAUAUGAAAACAAUAAGCAACUCAUUAACUUGUUUUAUCAAUGUUUACAACAUAUUCUCAAGUUCACUACAAGCUGUCUUCCUGAGCAACAGUCACUAAAUUAUUUAUAUCUGGAGCUACGAAACUCCAAAUUAAGUUCCGUUAAUUUUACCUGAAACUAGACUCAUUUAUCUUUCUUUCAUAAAAUUUCCAGAAUUUUUGACUUAGCCAAUUAGUACAGUUUAUUCCUCAAGUUUGCUCCUGAUUCACUGUCUGACAGUUUCAACCCUUCUGCACUAAAGUUCAAUUAUCUCAUAUUACAGGAUUCGAAUAAUAUUCUCGUCUAUUUCUCUUGAAACUAGACUCAUAUGUAUACUAACUAAUUUUUUUCUAGAAUUUUUUCUCAAGCCAUUUAGUACAUUUUAUUAGUUAAAGUUUCCCCUAUUUCAGGGUAUGACUACUCUGACCCCUAUGCACUACGAAUCGAAUUUCUCCAUGUACAGAAUUCCAAUGACCAUGCCAUUUGUUUCCCUUAAAAAUAGACUCAAUAAGGAAUCUAUUUAGGUAAGGUAUGACUCUUAAUAAUUUUUUUACAAUUUACGGUGAAUUUAUAAAAUCAAAACAGGGGAUCUCAAAGUCAUUCAGACCCUGUUUCAUAAGAAUUUAAAUAUCACACAAUAUAGAAUUCUUUUUCUUCCUCUAUUUCUUUCAUGUGAAAAUAGACUCAUUAAGCUUUAAUCCCAUAUUUUAUUCUGCCUCUAACUCAUUUUCCACUAUUUUUAGUGUAUUUUCAAAGUUACACUAAUGUAGUAACUCAAAUCUGUCAAGGCUAAGUUACUCAUUCAUGGUCAUUGUUCAUAAUAUUAAUACAACACCAUUUUAUCCAUCAUGGUAAGAACACAUAUUAUGCAUCAUAGAUCAUCACAUAUCAAGGCAUUCUCAUAGGAUUAGUAUACAUACUUUCACAACUCGUAACAUAACUCGAGUGCAUACUCACCAAUGACUUACCUCAUUGGGACCAUCAUCAACUCUUUCCUUGGAUUGCCCGUUGAACACUUGGAAUACUAAUUAGAUACUCGGAAAAGCCUUUGCACAUAAGUGCCUCAAUUGUAGCUAAAGCUACCUCAUAUCUCAUGACAUGUAAUGCUCACUCUCGAGCUAGUCAUCUAGACUCAUAAUUCCUAGUGACAUGUCACUCGUAUCCUAUUCUAUUCCUAAGGUUCAAACAGGAUUUUUCCUCGUCUAUUAAGGCUUUGUCUUAUCAUAUUUCUAUUAAUCACAUACACAUUAAUAUCUGUACAAUUCAUAUAAUGAUAACAUUUAAAUACAUGUAUAGCAUGGUAUUGUUUACAUACGAACUUACCUCGAUACCACAAAGGUGAAAAGGACAUACUCGUCCAUAAAUCUAUUUCUUUCCGUUCUAGGUCCAAGUCUCAAUUUUCAUCAUCUAUAACAUCACAUUUAGCCUACCAAUCAGUCACAAUAUUCAUAUGGGUCUAAAAAUCAUAUUUUUACAAAUUUUCAUUUUGACCCCUAAACUUUUGCAUAUUUGCACUUUUGUCCCAAUGCUCGUAAAUUAAUUUUUAUCACAUUUAUUUACUCCUUGAGUCUAGAUGAACCAUUUUCAUAACUAUAGCAACUCAUAGUUUCAACUAUUUUACACAUUUACAACUCAUUUUACAACUUAGCAAUUUAUCCAUUUUUAAGGUAUUUUCAUGCAAUUUCUUUCACAAAAGUUGUUUAUUAGACAACUAGGACUCAUAAUCUUCCAUAAAAAUACAGCAAACAACACAUUUACUCUCAUGGUAAAACCCUAGACUCUUCAUCAUUUUGCAAAAUAAUCCCCUUUUAUGAAAGCUUAUGCUUUAGGGGUUCCAAAAAUACAAAAAUCAUCAAGCAAAGACAUUAAAAACACUUACAAGCAAGGGAAAUAUGUUGCUGAAAUUUUCCAGCUUCAAAACCCUUUCUUUGCUGCAUAUUUCGGUGAAGGGGAAGAGAAAAAUGAUAGCUUUUUCUUCUUCUUUUUUUAUUUGUUAAUAAUAAAACUAUUUUUUCUAAUUUUGACUUUUCAACUAUUUUGUCUCCCAUGGCCGGCCAUCACACUUUCAAUGGCCUAAUUUCACUUU
rnacentral:lncRNA from 1 species